rnacentral:misc_RNA from 1 species
CAUACCUGUUCGAGCGUCAUUACACCCCUUAAAGAUAACUCUUUGGCGUUGGGCAAUGCCUAAAGGCAUGCCUCAAAAUCAGCGAUGGUGAUAUUCAACCACAGGCGCACAAACGCCGUCUAGCUGGCGGGAUGUUGUCAGUCAAUUGAUGAAUUUCUAAUGUUGACCUCGGAUCAGGUAGGAAUACCCGCUGAACUUAA